CAAACAAAACACAUGAGGAGGCGGAUCAAGCAUCCGCCAAGGCGAACAGGAAACGGAAGACGGUGAAAAUCCGUCGCGGGCGCGCCGCUGUAACCGGCAUAGAUAAUCCCCCUGCCACCACGGUUGAUAUCAACCGGAAGGGCGCAGGAUCACGGGAGCCGGAAGCCAGAAGACGUCCUGUUCACACACAAUCAUU
rnacentral:ncRNA from 1 species